rnacentral:lncRNA from 1 species
CGCGAGGGUUAAGAGCCUGGGAGUUGCUGAGGAUCCACCUCCGACCCUUAAGCCAGAGACUCAGCCACCAGAGAAACGGCGGAGAACAAUUGAGGAUUUCAACAAAUUCUGCAGUUUUGUUUUGGCAUAUGCUGGUUACAUUCCCCCUAGCAAAGAGGAAAGUGACUGGCCAGCCUCUGGCUCCAGCUCUCCAUUGCGAGGAGAGAGUGCGGCCGACAGUGAUGGCUGGGACUCGGCCCCCUCAGAUCUUCGAACCAUCCAGACUUUUGUUAAGAAAGCAAAGUCAUCCAAGAGAAGGGCAGCUCAAG